UACAGAGGGGGCAAGCGUUGUUCGGAAUUACUGGGCGUAAAGGGCGCGUAGGCGACCUGCUAAGUCGGACGUGAAAUCCCUCGGCUCAACCGGGGAACUGCGUCCGAUACUGGCGGGCUUGAAUUCGGGAGAGGGAUGUGGAAUUCCAGGUGUAGCGGUGAAAUGCGUAGAUAUCGGGAGGAACACCAGAGGCGAAGGCGGCGAACUUGACAGUUACUGACACUCAACUGCGAAAGCGUGGGGAGCAAACAGG
rnacentral:rRNA from 1 species